rnacentral:rRNA from 1 species
CUUCGGCCCAAGCCUUCGUCUAUACCCUUGUCUUUUGCGCACUUAUGUUUCCUCGGUGGGCUUGCCUGCCGAUAGGACACCACAAAACUCUUUUUAAUUUUCAAUCAGCGUCUGAAAAAACAUAAUAAUUACAACUUUCAACAACGGAUCUCUUGGUUCUGGCAUCGAUGAAGAACGCAGCGAAAUGCGAUAAGUAGUGUGAAUUGCAGAAUUCAGUGAAUCAUCGAAUCUUUGAACGCACAUUGCGCCCCUUGGUAUUCCAUGGGGCAUGCCUGUUCGAGCGUCAUUUGUACUCUCAAGCAUUGCUUGGUGUUGGGUGUUUGUCCUAACAAUAGUUGGGACUCGCCUUAAAACAAUUGGCAGCCAGUGUAUUAGACUUGGAGCGCAGCACAAUUUGCGUCUCCUUGCGAAUAAACUGGCAACCAUCAAGCCUAUUUUUCACGCUUGACCUCGGAUCAGGUAGGGAUACCCGCUGAACUUAA